rnacentral:pre_miRNA from 1 species
AUAUUGUCCUGUCACAGCAGUACUGUUACAAAUUUACUGUUGUUUCGGGACAUUU